AAUGAACUAAUGGCACCUACUUAAAGGCAGCAUUGGGAAGAUUACUUAAUUGACACUACUGAAGCAUCCUGAGGUGGAAGCCUGGUCAGAAAAUGUCCUCAGCCUUUGGAAUGGCACAGUUCUUAGAAAGCUGCUCCUUGGCUGAGCAGGAAGGCUCUUGGAGARAGGCCCUGCACAGCACCAUGAAUGAGAGGGACUUUGCACUUCCAGCCUGACAUGAGCUCUACGUCCAUCCUGCUCUGCGUGAAGAGACGGCUUCUGGAAGAAACCAAAAGUUCCAAUUCCCAACCCCGUGUUGCAGAGGGCAGUUUUCAGUUGGUGUUGGUUUAUGUUUUAUGUCUYUUAUCCCUUCUCUGACAAGAGUGCUGCUAAUCACAGUGAGAGCACAACUCUCUCCUCAGGUUGAACGAGCCACACUGAUUUAAUCCUUCUUUCCCUACAUCAGCAGCAGAUUUUCAAGUUAUCUGUACAUGGUAUCAUGAAAUGGAGGAGAACUUGUGCACUUUGAAGAAGCUUCUCCAGAAUCUUCACCAUCUCUCCUGCGAUUGAAAACCAUGGUGGUGGUACAGAACCGUGUUCUGAAAGGUGACAGGCUGUCCCUACCCUUGGUCCAGGAAAGACCCUGACAGGAGAGGACAAUGUGCUGGCUCACUGCUGGAGAAGGAAACACACACUGGGAUUGCUUGUCUUGGUUUCCAUACUGAGGAGGAGCCUGGAAAAAGACACCUUCUAGUCCUAGAGGUGUCCAUGGAUGAAAGGAUGGUUCACUUGCCUUCAGAUUUCAUUUUUGUACAAGAUGUUAGCUCUAAAAUUGCCUAAGAGAAAGGGAGAUGAUUUUACAUGCCAGCUGGGAGAAACUGUCUCCAAGCUGCAGGUUGCUGCACCCGCUUUUGAAAUGUUCUCAUCCAAGACUGGAGAUGUAAAUAGCAUUUUGCUGCAGUCCUCACAGACCAUCCUGAGGGACCAGCAGGACAAAAGGGGUCAGAAAUGUUUCUCCUCUUGCUGCAUUGGAUAAACAACUGGAAGAAGGCUAUGAAUUAGAGACUUCAAUGGGAAACAGCAAAUAACAUCAGCGGAAAAAGGCCAAGCUACAGAUAACUAUGGGAUACUGAACGUCCACAAGACAAGGAGUUAACUGAGCUUAUUGAGCACACACAUAGUAGAAACAAAAGACAUAAAAGAAAACUAGGUGGAAUAAUGAGUGGAAUCCAGCAGUUCCAGUAGCACAGUGAGGUGUGGUUUAUUCCAGGAAACGAGCAUUUGCAAUCAUCUGCUAAUAUCUAUUUAGAAAACCAUGUCUAAAUUUUCUGAGUUCCAAUAGUUUAAUUUUGGGGGGACAAGCUGCUUUUAUAAACCAGUCUGGACACACUCUUCUGCGUGCAAAUGGGAAAAGGAGAAGCUUCCUCCAGAAGCACAAGUCUAAUAGACAUAGCAAAACAGCAAAAAAUACAGGUGUGCACAGGGCUGUGCACAGAGCAGAGGAAAAUAUCAGGGAGAGUUGGAAAGGGCCUUUUAUGGGAAACUCACUAUGGUGGAUUGACUGCAGCAGCCUCUAAAAGCUGUUUGGCUGUAGGAAGCAUGGGCAAAUUCCCUGUCAGAUCAAUCAACUCUUUGAAGUGCCCCAAAACAGGCACUUUCCAUGCUAUGAUUUUUCAUUUUUAUUCUUUUACCAGAGGAUUUUGUUAGACUCUAGGACUUGGAGGACUAGGAUUUGGAGGAAAUGGCUGUGAGGCAGCACCAGGGCCUGGCAAAGCUGCAUUUUCACUAGUGCUGUCGUCAUUAACAGGAGCUGUUCAGGAUCUAGGUCAUCACAAGGUAAUAUCAAUUUGGUCUGAAUUGGGAGGCCCUGCACAAUCCCACUUCUGUCAAAUUAGCCAGGGUGAAUGAUGCAAAGUUUAUGCAACUUUGCAUUUUCAGAUGAUCUUUAUGCUUGCUGGGGGAGGAUGGCUGCCAGGGAGCCAGACGGGCUUAGAAGCUGAUCUGGCACAAAGGCUUUCAGGACACAGUUGCCCCAUUAAACAUUUUUAAACAAAUUUGCAAAGGCAAAGUGAAUUUGCAUUGGCUCAGUACUUUUCAUCCAGUGGUAAUAACAUUAUGUAAUACCAUAAAAUCAGAUUUAGCAUCUCCUCAAGUUGCCAUUGCAGCUCCCUGAGAUGCCGUUUUCCAGAGCACAGGCUGAAGAGCACAGCAGCUCAGCACUGCUGAGGAGCAGUGGUAGGCACUGCAAGUGCCAAGGAGGGGAAGGGACAGUUUCAAAUUGUGCUUAUGGUUGGAGAAAAGUGACUUUUUUUUUUUUUUUUAACGUAUCUGAAUACAAGUUAAUUCUGUAAAUGAAAACCGCAGAUGUCUUUAGCACAACAAGCUAGAUUAGAUUGAUGCCUGGGACUGUAUUGCAGCUGGCUGAAUUCUCCAGAACCAGUUGUUAAAACUCUCUGCUGGUUGCCACAGUGGCACUGAGGGCUCCCUCCCCCAGCUCUGCCCCCCUGGGUGCCUCCUCCCCAAAACUUGAGCUGGAAAAGGGGCUUCUCCACCUUCCUUUUCAGCCCUAAUUGAGGUGUUGAUAUCAUCACGUUUUGUUCUUGUCCUGCACCCUGUGACAAGGGGCAUGUUGCUGCUCUGUGGGCAUUGGAUGGAAAGAAGUGGGGUAGUCUUGAAUUUAGGGACUUCAAACUCUCUAGGGAUGUGGCAUCAAUUAGAGCAGCUGUUUUGUAAUCUUAACCUCUGCAGGGAUUGAAGUGGCUUCAUACAAUCAAUAAGUCUCUAAUACUUCUUUUAAGUGCUUUUUUCCCCUCUCCUUUUAAACAAGUAAAAACUUUGCUGCUAACCAAUGAGGUUUUCUGCUCAUGCAGUUACACCGAUGGCAGCAGACAGGUCCAAAGUUGGCCAGCGUCUUGCCAUCUCUUAGCCUGUUCCUUAACACAGACUCGUUUUUCAGUUCUGACGAGCAGAAGCUGUUUGUCCUGGUAUCGGUUUGACUUCACAUCGCAUAAUUCCCUUCCUGAACAACGUGAUGAAAGAUGUAUGAGAACAGGCAAGUGGUUCCUGUCUCUGCACAGCUACGCUGGGGUUACGCGCCACGUGUAGCGCUGCCGUGGCUGUAGCCCGGAGCGCUGCCAACGGGGAGUGAGGGCGCCGCUUGGAGCAGCGGGGGGAAUGUUCCCCUGGCGAGGUGUGCACAGAACUUGCACUCUGGACAGCCCCAGAGCGCA